UUGAGAAUUCUUAUCUCCCACGGUAGCCUCUCCUCUCGACGCGUAAUCGCGGGUGAUAUUCUUCUGAACGCGUCUCUUGUCUUUUGUUUUCUGCCUUACGUGUUUGGCCCUCUUGUUUUGUUAUCUACGUCGUCUCGCAGGAGGAUGUUUCAACGCGAUUUCUUGGACCGAUCAUCGCUAGGGUUUUCACUUUCCACGGAUGAUUCUUGAUUGAUUCUCUUGCCACGCGUGCGUUAGUCUUCAGGGGUUUCUCUAAUCCCUUUCGUUCCUUACGUUUUUAUGUUGCGAUCAUCGUUGCCGCUUCCGAGUUUUCUCUAGAUUUCAUCGGUGGACCUUUUUGUUCCAUGUGAUCUACUUGUCGUCUUGUUGUUUUAGAUUGUGGAGGAUGCUUUCUUUGAUGAUCGAUGAUGGCGUUUAGGCUUGAUCGCUCUUCAAGGGUUUUCUCUUUUGGCGGUUUAGCAAGGCUUCUCUCCUUUUCCUUUUCUUUUUUUUCAAAAAAAUCUUCUUACAACAGAAGGCGGUCCUGUCUUAAAGCAAAACCAUGUUAUUUCGUGUUGAUAUAGAACAUGGAGGCUCUAAGAGAGAAGCAAUCGGGACAGCUCUGAAUAGGUUUCUCUGUUUUCUCAUGCUUUACUUGUUUCCCCCAUGAGAAUUACUCUCUCCUUCGUUAUAGGUGUGUGUCGAGGAGGAUGAUCUUCUAUCUUAGACCGUGGAAGGGAACAAUGUUUUGCGUAUGAUCUCGAGUUCUUGGUUAUAUACCCUUUCCACCUACGGAUUAUAUCUUUUGUUGAGUAUUGGUUAUUGUGGAGAGGUAUGAUGUGUCCUCCCUGUUUUCCAGAUCAGUGUACACAUAUUCAGAUGAAGACGGAUGUUAACAGAUGUGAUUCGAUCAUCGUUGCCACUUCUAAGUUCCAUGUGAUCUACUUUCCUUUUUGUUGUUUUAGAUUUGCGAGAGAUGCUUGCUUUAAUCCAUGAUGGCUGUUUUGGGUUGAUCGUUCUUCACGCGCUUUCUACAGGGCUUCUGUCUUUUUCCUAUUUUUUAAAUUCCUUAUUACACAAGCCGGUCCUUUUUUUUCCCCUUUCUUAAGCGAAACAUGUUUUUCGUUUUGGUAUAGAACAUUAAGGAUCCAAGAAAGAAAGGCAAUCUGGAUGGCUCCUGAUCAAUCUUCUUCCCGGUUUUAGGUUUCUCUGAUUUCUCUUUGCUAAAAGGAUGGUUUGUUUACCUUUCUGGCAGAUUCUUGUUACCCUUGUAUUCAGUGUUUCUAUGUUACUUUUAAUGGAGCAUCGACGAGAAACAAUUUGAUUUGUGGAAGGGAAUGAUGGUUUGCGUAUAAUUCCUAGUUCUUGGUUAAAUCUUCUUAGCCUAUGGAUUACUUUUGUUUAGUAUUGGCUAUUGUGGGGGAGGUAUGAUGUGUCCUCUGUUUUUUACAGAUCUGCUUUAACUAAUCAACUCACUCUGUUCUUCUGCGGUCUACACACGUCCAGAUGAAGGACGGAUCAUAACAGUUGGGUUUGUUCUUCUUUUGCUGUUUCCAAGAUGGAUUGCUCCACUCUGUCUAUUAAAGUAGUCUUAAAGAUUGUCAGUUCUAUCAAUUAUUCAGCUUGUAUCAUCAGUCUGCGUUCUCCAUAGAUUUUGAAAUGUUUUGAGGAAAGCUCUCUCGUCUAUGUUACAGAUGGAUGCGAUUUCAAAAAGAGAAAAGCAGGACUACUCUUCAUGGUUUAUCUGUUUUGGUUUAUUCGUUCCUACUUCCUAACCACAGUAUAUGAAUUUACAACGGUGGCUUUUCUGUUCAUUCUAUCUACUUCUCGUUUUAGAUUGUGGAGAAUGGUGGCUUUGAGCGAAGAUGAUUGUUAGGGUUGAUCCUCUUUCACGCGUGUACAAGGGCAUAUGUCUUUUUUUUUUCCUACUUCAAUUUCCUUAUCACAGAAGCCGGUCUUUUCUCCUGUCUUCACCGAAACAUGUUUUUUUCGUUUUGAUAUAGAAGAUGGAGGCUCCAAGAGAGAAAAGCAGUGGGGGAUGGCUCUGAUCUACCUUUCUUAUGGAUGGCUCUUGAUCUAUACAGUCUUCUCUAUGACUUUUCCCUGUUUUUGGUUACUAUAUUACGUAUAGAUGCGAUCAAGUUUUCUUCGCCCUUAUCCGUUUUUAUUUUAUUUUACAGUGUGCGUGUAUUCUAUGGCUUGAAUGAAAAUCAUUUGUGCUCAAGAUGGUAGCCUCUCUUUCUCUUUGAAUUCAGUUUUUAUUUUGGAUUAUUCUGUUUCGACCGGUUUGUGCAUAGUCUUCUACAUCCAGGGCUGUUUCAGGCUUCCACAUUUGUUAUCAAGUCAUGAGCCACUUCUUCCAUGAGAUAACUGCCUAUGCAAGUGAUGUUAUCUCCUAGAUCUUUGAUAGCUCCCUCAAGGAUCAGUUGUCAAUUAAUUGGUUAUGCAUUAUUUCUAUCCUUGUUUUUGUUUUUGAUUUUGUAAGCAUGUUCUUGAGCUGGUCUACUUCGUCCAGCGCCACCAAUUUUGAAAGUCGUUUUGUUUUGGACAGGGAUCUUUGACCGUUGUAUCGCAGGAUGUCUUUUAGCGAUUUCUUGGACAGGUCAUCGUUCCUACACCAGUUUGUUCACUUUUCACAUCGGUUUUAACGGGUUAUUGUUUAUUCUAGCGUUUGGUUUCGAGAUUCCAUCGGCUGGCUUUUCUGGUCAUUCAGUUUUACUUUCAGGUUCUGGAAUUUUAGAUUCUGGAGGAUGCUGUGAUUGAUCGGUGCUAUGCUACGUCUUCAAGGGUCCUCGCUUAUCUAUUUCCUUCCUUACCUCCUUCCGACUCGUAGAACAUGGAGAGCUACCGGGAUUUGUAUCUGAUCAUUCUUCUUUCCUCGUUUUAGGUUCCUCUGUUUCCUCGUUCUAUAUUUUAUUUCCAUGAAUUACUCUCUCUCUUUCUCCGUAUAUAUGAAAGGAUGAUCUGUUUUCUUACCGUUGUAUUUGUGGUUUCUAUGUUACUCGACUUUGGUUUCCAUCUUAGAUCGUGAAGAAUCGACGAGAAAGGAUUCCCUUUGUGGAUGGAAAUGAUGGUUUGCGCAUGAUUUCGAUUCCUUGGUUAUACCCUUUUUGCCUACGACUAUUUUUGUUGAGUAUUUGUUAUUGUGGAGAGGUAUUGUGUCUUCUGUGUGUUUUAGAUCUGCUUAACCAAUCAAUUCACUCUGUUCCUCGGCGGUGUACGGACGUUCAGAUGAAAGAUGAAUCAUAACAGAUGGGUUUGUUCUUCUUUUUGCUGUUUUCAAGAUGGAUUACUUCACAAUUCACUCUGUCUCAUAAAGUAGUUUUAAGUUUGUCAAGUUUAAGGUCCUAUGAUGCAGAAAACUCUCUGUCUUUUUGUUGUAGAUGGUUGAGGUUUCAAAAGAGAAAAUCAGCAGGCUACUACUUGGACUCUUCAUGGUUUUAUCUGUUUUGGUUUAUUUGCUUCUCUUCUUUGCCUUUUUGAUUUUUCAGUCUGCAUCUAUUCUAUGGCUUGAAUGCAAAUCACUUCUCCCCCGAGAUGGUAGCCUCUCUUUCUCUUUGAAUUCUGUUUAUUAGUAUAGGAGGAGUUUGGAUGAUUCUGUUUCGACCUGUUGUUUAUAGUCCCCUGUAUCAGUACAUCCUGCCCUGUUUGGCUGUUUCAAACUUCUACAUAGUUGUCUCAUCAAGGAUGAAUUUGGAGCUUCCAGUAUUUGAUGGAUUCAGGUGUCAUUAUAGAUUAUUGCGUGUGCAAGUGAAGUUGAUCUCCGAGCUCUUCAAUGGUUGCCUCAAGGAGCAGUUGUCAGUUGAGGGUUAUGCGCUAUCUUUGCUUUUUUUAUUUAAUUUAGUGCAUGACUACUUCUCUCCCCGGGUUAAUUUGAUAUUUGUCAGCAUGUUCUGGGCUUGGUCUAUUUUCUACAGCAACCAACCAUAAGGUAACGUUGAAGUUUCUUAUGAGUUUUGCUCCUCCUAUAUAUGGAAACGUUUUGUUUUGGACAAUGAUCUUUUGUAUAGUCUCUGGUGAUAAGUCGGCCGCGGGUGGAUAAAGCUCAGAUAUCUUGGCUCUUGAUCCUGUAUGUUCUCUUUUUUUUUAAAUGUAGCUACCAUGCUUGUUCUUGUGUUUUUUUUCUUUUAGAUUGUGUCCUUUGUCCUUCUUUUUGUGUUCCCAGAUUUUCAGUUCAUCAACCAGUUCACCCUCGUUGUACACCCAUUCAAGUUGAAAGUUGAUCAACAGAUGGGUUUGCUCUUUUUUUUUUUGUUGUCCGGUCCUGGUUUGAUUUGUCCUGUAGAGAAAGCUUUUGUAUUGAAUGAUCUUCAACUAUUCCAACGAUCCUUUCCAGCGUCAUCCGUGUUUUCGAUUGAAGAGAAAGCAGCACUUGUCAGGGAAGGAUGGUUCUCUUAUAAUCAGGUUUCUGGUUAUGUCGGUUCUAUACAUCGCAUUGCCUACAUAUUUUUUUUUACCUGAACAGCUUUUGUGGGGAAUAUAUGAUUUUUCUUUUGUUUGUUUCCAGAAUCUAUGCGGAGGAUGAUUAUUUGUAAAUGGGUUUGUUCUUAUUAUUAGUCCUUUCUGGCUCCUUUUUCUCUAAUACUGUGUACGGUGGUUAUUGAUUGUAAUAAACUAUUAUACCGGCUCUUUACAGUAGCAGACGUAUCGCAUCUUACGGAUCUGUCGCCUUAUUGAAGUAAGCUCUGGACUUUCUAGACCACAAGUUUGUAAUUCUAUAAUCUUUCUUCUAGAUAGGAGUUCUUUUAUGGUGUGUCUGUGUCAGGAAAACUUUCAACACUUUUGAUCAAACCAUUGAAGGGUCGUUUUAGUGGACUGUUAAGUCUGACCUCCUCUAAUGAAGAAGGCUCAAGAUGGUUUGUCAAUGGUCUUUUCUUCAACAGUCGUCUUUGUUAACUCUUUGGUGGUUUCUUCUCUUCUCUGAUAUUUUCUUUACUGCAUCUCUUCUAUGAUAUGUGUACGUCUGUUUGAGAUGAUGGCUUCUCUUUCCUAAGGCCAACAUUAUCAGUUAGUCCCUUAAGGGUCCCUAAGGAGGGGGAGGGGCCACAAAACAUCAGGACCGAGGAAAAAAGAAGAGAAAAAGUCCUUAAAUAAGGGACAAAUGAGUAAGCUUCAGGUUCCUUCUUCCUCGUUUUUUUGGGAGGCUUCAUUGAUAUUUGGGAACACGCUAACGUUGCUUCGGUGAGACAAGGUAGCGUUGAAGUUGUUCUGAGUUUUGAUCUUCCUUUUUGUUAUGGAGAUGUUUUGCUUUGGAUACCCUUUUCUACAGUUGAGUCUGGUGAUUGGUUGGCUUUGAGGGAAGAAAGCUUCGGGUUCCUCACUGCCUUGAAGUCACUGGCUUGCUGCAAGAAGUUGUAUUUAGUCUGACGGUUUUCUCGGCCUUGUUCCCUUUGUUUCCUAUUUUGCUAGGCUACUUAUCUUGGGGGUUUAUUAGUUGAUAGUUGAUAUUGGUAACACUUGUUUUGCUGCUCUCUGAAGGUUAAUAAAUAUCUGCUAAAGGAAGGUUUUGAGGAUGCAAUACAAUGUAUUUCAGUUUUUUUUGCUCCAGGGAGUCAAGGUAACGUUGAAGUUCUUCCGAGUCCUAUUCCUCGUUUUUUUUGUUAUGGAAACGCUUUGCUUUGGACAAAAUCUUCUACAGUUCAGUAGUCUGGUGUUUUGUUGGCUUUAAGGGAAGUAAGCUAUGGGUUCAUCAUUGGUUUCACAAGAGAGUCUCUGGUUAGUUAAUUUUGUUGGCUAGCCUUCACCGGAAGUAAGCUUAGCUUCUUCGGGUUUGUCAGUCCCCAUCCUCUCUUUCCUUGUCCUGAUUUUUUGAAUUCUCGAGUUACACGUUCUUUGGCUCACGGAAGGGUAAUGUAGUAAUGUGUAUUUGCUAUUAGAUUUGGAGGAUGGAAUAUCAUGGAUAUUUGAGAUUUGCUCUUUCCUUGAGAUAGUGACAAGGUAACAUUGAAUGGCCUCUUUGAGAUUUGCUCUUUCCUUUCUUUCUGAUAUGAAAACAUCUUGCUCUGGACACUCUUCUAUUGGAUAUAGUCUUCGGUGAUUUGAUAUGGCUGGGAUGGAUGAAGCUCAAAUACGGUGGCGUUUGCUUCUGUAUAUGUUGACUACUCUGAAGGUGUUUACCAAGAAGCUGGUGCCUUUUUUGUCUUCCUCUAGGUUUGCAGUAAUAUCACGUAGCCAGUAUCAUCUUAGUACAUCUGUUUUGUAUUUGGUUUUGUGGAAGAGUUUCGCUCUCGACAUGAUGCUCUUUUCUUGUGCACUACUACUGCAUGGUUUCAUCAUUUGCCUCGUUUUUUUUCUGGUUUGAUGGAUGGUAACACAGGGCAUAUGAAUCUCGCCUUUGUCAGAAUAUGGUCGGAAGUGUGUCCUAGCGACUGUGAGGGUACGGUGUGCCAUUCAUGUACUUGUGCAGAUUUUCUUUACACUGCGCUUUGUUUCAACAGUGUGCCGCUAGACCUUUUUUUGGUGUCUUCCAGUCGCAGAGCUUUGCCCACCAGACCCGAGAUUGUAGCUCUAAUGGAGAAGUGUGGGGGUAUGGGUUUAUGAUGACAUGCUCCAAGAUAUCAAAACACGUUUUCUCCUCCAAUAUGCAACGGAGAGAGAGCAGAACAAGGAAGGAUGUUCGAUGGACUUCACUACCUCCCAUAGCUGAUAGCUUCGCCAGGAUGCUUAUCAUCUGAAAUCGUUACGGCUUCGGUUUUGUACUAGCUUUCUAGUUGAGCUCAACAGAAACAGUUUGGAAAGGAAGGCAGCAAGAGGCCUUGGAAACUUACGUAGCCUAAACCUCACAAGCUGCAAGCACCCAACCCAGUUUCCAGACCUUCUGAAGGCGACUAAUCUUGAGGCUGUUAAACCCUCCAGUUAUUUUAACUGGGAAGUAUGACAGAACAAAGACGAAGCUGCAAUACAAUAAGCAGGAGGACUUUGGACCUUCGGUGUCACCGCUACUGGCUAGAUCUCUUUUUCUAUACUACUGUAAAUAUAUGGUCUAUGUUGAUGUAUAAAUAUUUCAGUCAAUGAAGCAUAUAGCCUACU